rnacentral:rRNA from 1 species
GACGAACGCUGGCGGCGUGCUUAACACAUGCAAGUCGAACGGUAAGGCCCUUCGGGGUACACGAGUGGCGAACGGGUGAGUAACACGUGGGUGAUCUGCCCUGCACUUCGGGAUAAGCCUGGGAAACUGGGUCUAAUACCGGAUAGGACUCCUGGCUUCAUGGUUGGGGGUGGAAAGCUUUUGCGGUGUGGGAUGGGCCCGCGGCCUAUCAGCUUGUUGGUGGGGUAAUGGCCUACCAAGGCGACGACGGGUAGCCGGCCUGAGAGGGUGACCGGUCACACUGGGACUGAGAGACGGCCCAGACUCCUACGGGAGGCAGCAGUGGGGAAUAUUGCACAAUGGGCGCAAGCCUGAUGCAGCGACGCCGCGUGAGGGAUGACGGCCUUCGGGUUGUAAACCUCUUUCAGCUAUGACGAAGCGCAAGUGACGGUAGGUGCAGAAGAAGGACCGGCCAACUACGUGCCAGCAGCCGCCGUAA